GACAUGCAGAGAACUUCCAGAGAUGGAUUGGUGCCUUCGGGAACUCUGACACAGGUGCUGCAUGGCUGUCGUCAGCUCGGUGUCGUGAGAUGUUGGGUUAAGUCCCGUAACGACGCGCAACCCUUGUCCUUAGUUACCAGCACGUUAUGGUGGGCACUCUAAGGAGACUGCCGGGUGACAAACCGGAGGAAGGUGGGGAUGACGUCAAGUCAUCAUGGCCCUUACGGCCUGGGCUACACACGUGCUACAAUGGUCGGUACAAAGGGUUGCCAAGCCGCGAGGUGGAGCUAAUCCCAUAAAACCGAUCGUAGUCCGGAUCGCAGUCUGCAACUCGACUGCGUGAAGUCGGAAUCGCUAGUAAUCGUGAAUCAGAAUGUCACGGUGAAUACGUUCCCGGGCCUU
rnacentral:rRNA from 1 species